rnacentral:rRNA from 1 species
GACGAACGCUGGCGGCGUGCUUAACACAUGCAAGUCGAGCGGUAAGGCCCUUUCGGGGUACACGAGCGGCGAACGGGUGAGUAACACGUGGGUGACCUGCCCUCAGCUCUGGGAUAAGCCUGGGAAACCGGGUCUAAUACUGGAUAUGACUCCAUGACGCAUGUUGUGGGGUGGAAAGCCUUGUGCGGCUGAGGAUGGGCCCGCGGCCUAUCAGCUUGUUGGUGGGGUGAUGGCCUACCAAGGCGACGACGGGUAGCCGGCCUGAGAGGGCGACCGGCCACACUGGGACUGAGACACGGCCCAGACUCCUACGGGAGGCAGCAGUGGGGAAUCUUGCGCAAUGGGCGAAAGCCUGACGCAGCGACGCCGCGUGAGGGAUGACGGCCUGGUGUAACU